GAUUAAGCCAUGCAUGUGUAAGUAUAAAUAGUUAACUUUGAAACUGCGAAUGGCUCAUUAUAUCAGUUAUAGUUUAUUUGAUGAAGAAUACUAAUUGGAUAACCGUAGUAAUUCUAGAGCUAAUACAUGUAUAAAGUCUUGUAGACUGCAUUUAUUAGAAUGAAAACCACUAGGUUUCGGCCUAUUCGUGAGUAAUAAUAACUAAUCAUAUCGUAUGCUUAUGUAACGAUGUGUCUUUCAAGUUUCUGCCCUAUCAGCUUUCGAUGGUAGUGUAUUGGACUACCAUG
rnacentral:rRNA from 1 species